rnacentral:rRNA from 1 species
CUACGGGAGGCAGCAGUGGGGAAUAUUGGACAAUGGGGGCAACCCUGAUCCAGCCAUGCCGCGUGGGUGAAGAAGGCCUUAGGGUUGUAAAACCCUUUCAGCGGGGAAGAUGAUGACGGUACCCGCAGAAGAAGCCCCGGCUAACUCCGUGCCAGCAGCCGCGGUAAU